UUAAAUUGCGUUUAUAAUAUUGCUUACAAACACUGUCCAGAAUGUCUUUCUGUCAAGUUUGUCAAAGUUAUGAACCACAGCCAGUAUGGUACUAGGGGAAAGUGUACGCAACUUUGUAGUACCUACACUAGGCGGUUAGUCUUCAAACACGUUUUAUUAUGCAGCAAUAAAGGAGUGGAGCGGACUGCCUGAACGUGUCAAGGACAGUCCUAGCAUGAUUCAGUUCAGGAAGACACCUGAAAGGUAGGAGAGUGAUUUCUUGUAUAGUCAACAUUGGUAUACCUAUUACUGUAAGCUGAUCCUCUCUUUUAUGUUCAUGUAAAUAACUCUGUUCACUUUAUUCCUAUUUUCACCUCCUUUUACGCCAUUCCCAAGAGUGGCGCAAACCUUGCAGUGAGAACACAGGCUGCGACUUCUCCCCAGAGUGGCGCAAACCUUGCAGUGAGAACACAGGCUGCUACUUCUCCCCAGAGUGGCGCAAACCUUGCAGUGAGAACACAGGCUGCUACUUCUCCCCAGAGUGGCGCAAACCUUGCAGUGAGAACACAGGCUGCUACUUCUCCCCAGAGUGGCGCAAACCUUGCAGUGAGAACACAGGCUUCGACUUCUCCCCAGAGUGGCGUAAAUAUUGCAGUGAGAACGCAGGCUGCGACUUCUCCCCAGAGUGGCGCAAACCUUGCAGUGAGAACACAGGCUGCGACUUCUCCCCAGAGUGGCGUAAAUAUUGCAGUGAGAACACAGGCUGCGACUUCUCCCCAGAGUGGCGCAAACCUUGCAGUGAGAACGCAGGCUGCGACUUCUCCCCAGAGUGGCGCAAACCUUGCAGUGAGAACACAGGCUGCGACUUCUCCCCAGAGUGGCGUAAACCUUGCAGUGAGAACGCAGGCUGCGACUUCUCCCCAGAGUAGCACAAACCUUCAACUCGCUGUGGACCGAUAACACUUUCACCAGUUAACAACGAGGACCAGUAAUGAUGUGGACCGCCGACUGGUGGCUCGCGGACCAGCAGUGGUUCAUGGCCCACUACUUUGAGAAGUGCUGGUUUAGUGCCCUCGCCAAACUGUAGAUUAGGUGUAAUUUUUUUCCCAGCCAUGAUAUUGGGUUGUAUUUUGUCAGUAACUGCCUGGUAGUGUUGAAGCCUGUCACAACUGCUCGCUAAACCUGCUCAUAUUUACCCUUAGUAACUCGCUCUAUGCGAAGGUUAGAAGACAAAUCCGGGAGUUAUUGGACAACUUGAAACUCUGAAGCUCGAACAGAGAAGAUAAGAAAAAACACAGAUAUCUGAAGGAUAUUUGAAGAUGGUUUAGAGGUUCAUUGUUCUCAUAUCCCGGUCCAGAACAUGGAUCCUAAUGGCAAUAAGUCGCUUCGUCUGACCUUUUUUUUUUUUUUUGGGGGGGGGGGGGGUUACCCUAGGUAAUUACACAUAUGCUGCUAUUAUGUGUACCUAUACCUAAAUAAACUUACUCGGAGUUGACAGCCUCAUCAGUGAGGCUGUCAGUACUCUCUGCACUCAGUUCGACCUUUUGUCCGAAAUAACCUGCGUGAUAGUGGCUCUCUUUUGUACCUAAUAAUCUUUUAUUACAUAUAAGCUACAUUAUCUGUAUGCUACAUAAAAUAUAAAGAAUUUAAAUUUUAGCAUCACAACUCGGCUGAUCAGGCACUUUAGUUCUCUUUUAAAAGAGGAAGACUUAGUAACUUUAAAGGUGAUUUUCAAGUUCUCCGCAGGAUGCAACCCAGAAUAUUCGACAGACUCCUAGCUGACUGCUAGUUAACGGGCAGUAGGGGUCAUGAAACUCCCUUAUUUACUGUCUAGUAAGUAAGCUUAUUAGGCUCAGGUACACAUGAGCACAAUUAUCAUACGUAGUGUAAAUUACCCCUAAAAAAGUCGGAGUAACGUAUGUCCACUGGGGUCCUUGUAAUAUCUUAUUAUUUAAAGGUUUAAACAGCUAAAUAACUCAACUGUUUGAAAAUCAAUUACAAUGAAAGAAAAUAAACUAAAAAUAAGGUAAA